rnacentral:misc_RNA from 1 species
UUGUUUAUUUAAAAUAUAAACUCAGACAAUUGUAUUAAAAAUAAAGAGUUAAGGUUUCCUUUGGUGAAGACACAUCCACUUUUGACAGUCGAUGGUCCCUCUUUCUGUGAAGAAUUGAAAAACGCUUCACCAAAGUAAUAAAAAUUUGGUACACAAAGGGUGGGAGAUUUCCUGCAAGCAGGAAAAAAUCUCGGUAAUGAUCCUUCCGCAGGUUCACCUACGGAAA